ensembl:lncRNA
UGCUUAACAGAGAAAUGCUUAUGGCUCUUCCCAACAAUGCAGAGAGAAAGAAAUUAAUAUUUUCAAAAAAUGAACAUUAAUUGCAACAUCACUUUAAAAAAAAUUAAAAGCAGAUAUUUUUCAUGCAGGUAAAAAAUGUUACACCUUUCAGUGAAAUCCCACAUCACCCCCUUACAGAACUCUACUUAACAAAUAACAGCACUACAUACCAAAUGUGUUCAUACAGAUGCAUUAUCUUCCAAACUGCUGAUGUUGAAGGACUUCCCACAGACAGCAGAAACAUGCACAUUUACUCUGAAUUUCAGGUUUAAAAAUACUCCCAACAGCUGAUAUUACCUCUUCAGAAUGCCCAAUAACUUAGUACCCACAAGACAUUAUUAUUUACAAUGCCAAUCAUUACCGUGCAAAAAAAAACUUUGAAACUGGCUGACAUUAACAUAGAACAUCUGCAAAGUCAAAAUAUCAGAAACAGAAAGCGUAAUCUGCUUCACAGCUCAUCCAAAGGCAAUGUGUCCAGCUUGAACCCUGGCUUUAAUUUAGGCUUUAUCCUUAUCAUUAUGGUUGUUGAUGUUUGGUGUUCUGGCACGGUAUCGGGGGACCUCUCUGUCCACUUCUCCCUCAGUGAGUAUCCUAACCCUCUACAGAGAGAUAGUAUCCUAACCCUCUACAGAGAGAUAGUAUCCUAACCCUCUACAGAGAGAUAGUAUCCUAACCCUCUACAGAGAGAUAGUAUCCUAACCCCCUACAGAGAGAUAGUAUCCUAACCCUCUACAGAGAGAGAUAGUAUCCUAACCCUCUACAGAGAGAUAGUAUCCUAACCCCCUACAGAGAGAUGGUAUCCUAACCCUCUACAGAGAGAUAGUAUCCUAACCCUCUACAGAGAGAGAUAGUAUCCUAACCCUCUACAGAGAGAGAUAGUAUCCUAACCCUCUACAGAGAGAUAGUAUCCUAACCCUCUACAGAGAGAUAGUAUCCCAACCCUCUACAGAUAUUAUCCUAACCCUCUACAGAUAUUAUCCUAAGCCUCUACAGAGAGAUAGUAUCCUAACACUCUACAGAGAGAUAGUAUCCUAACCCUCUACAGAGAGAGAUAGUAUCCUAACCCCCUACAGAGAGAGAUAGUAUCCUAACCCCCUACAGAGAGAUAGUAUCCUAACCCUCUACAGAGAGAGAUAGUAUCCUAACCCUACACAGAGAGAGAUAUACCUAACCCCCUACAGAGAG